rnacentral:rRNA from 1 species
UGGGGAAUAUUGGACAAUGGGCGAAAGCCUGAUCCAGCCAUGCCGCGUGUGUGAAGAAGGUCUUCGGAUUGUAAAGCACUUUAAGUUGGGAGGAAGGGCAUUAACCUAAUACGUUAGUGUUUUGACGUUACCGACAGAAUAAGCACCGGCUAACUCUGUGCCAGCAGCCGCGGUAAUACAGAGGGUGCAAGCGUUAAUCGGAAUUACUGGGCGUAAAGCGCGCGUAGGUGGUUUGUUAGGUUGGAUGUGAAAUCCCCGGGCUCAACCUGGGAACUGCAUUCAAAACUGACUGACUAGAGUAUGGUAGAGGGUGGUGGAAUUUCCUGUGUAGCGGUGAAAUGCGUAGAUAUAGGAAGGAACACCAGUGGCGAAGGCGACCACCUGGACUAAUACUGACACUGAGGUGCGAAAGCGUGGGGAGCAAACA